rnacentral:tRNA from 1 species
GCCACCGUAGCUCAGUGGUAGAGCACUCGAUUCGUAAUCGAGCGGUCGUCGGUUCAAUUCCGACCGGUGGCU